UUUUCUAGAAGGCCACUGGAUUCCCUACUGGAGCCCAAGAAGGAGCAAAAAGGCCCCUCUGACUUCCAGCCACAUGUUUGGCCACCUGUUACGAAAGCCUGCCCCUGAGAUGCUCAUCUCCUGAUGCCUGCCAGGGGGACCCUUCCCCUGCCUCCCCUGCCCCCCCUCCCCCGCCGCCCCCGGCAGCUGCUGGCGUAAUGACAGGUCAGCUCACAGGUGAGGCUGUGGGCUGAGUGGCUAUUGUUUAUCCCAGUUUCAAUUUCAUCGUCAUGACAACCCACACAUGUCAUUGUCCAAGCCGGUGCCUCCACACUGAAGGCAUGUGAGGAACUGUGGUCCGGGCUCGUGCCCCCCACCCCCGCUGCCACCGCCCCCCAGAGGGUCGAGGACCCAUCUGCACACUCGUGGGGCUGCUCCUUUCUCUGCUCCUUGUGUUCAGGGUGACCUUAUUUUCUCUACCACUUACCCAGAAAUUGUUCUUGAAAAGUGUCUCAUUUCCACUGAAUUUGGCCCAGAAUGAUUGGGGCCGUUGCUGGGCCUGGAUCUGAUCUCUCUCGUCAGCAGUCUUGCAGACUCUCUGGGUGCCGCCGGGUCCUGCACGGCUGUGACCGCUGGAUGAGGCGGCGGGGGGGGGGGCAGGCAAUGGGUGGGAAAUACGCCUGCUUCCCUCCCAGAGCCUCGGAGGAAGGCCUCCCCAAAGAGCCUGCUCCCAGAACCCAGUGAGGGACAUCUCCACCUGGAAACCUGCCUUCGCCUGGCUUCCCAGCUACAGGGUGCCCCUCCUAGAAGAUUUCAAGAGACAGAUGGCUGCUGUUUCUGUUUUGCUCUACUGCUUUGAGGAAUCCUUGAGUCUGUGCGGGGCUGUUUAGACACCAGCUCUGGAUGUUAACAUCGGUGAGCCUUGAAAGAAUUGCUCGGGCAGAGUGGGACGUGUGUCUACUGAAUUCCUCUUUUGAGUCGUCACGUACUUUAUGGUUCUGAAAGCAGACGUUCCUUUGAUUUAGGGAGCAGGCUCAGAAAGGGACUCUUUUUUUUGUGUUGGCUCACUGAUGAGUCUUUGGGGAGGAGGCCUUGGCCAGGAUUUCCCGUGAUGGAGGGUUACGAGGCAGGCCUUUAUAGGGAAGGAAGCCUAUCUGCCCCCUGAAAAGCCUUCUAUUGGAGGUAGCUUCCCUUGCGGCUAGAGGGUCACCUGCUGUGACCAAAUUGAUGGCUUAUUUGCUUGAGUAUCAUGGUGCAGGACACACACACACACACACACACACACACACACACAUAUGAUAUUGGGAUUGCUUUGCUUGAAAGAGGCCAGAGGGACUGAGCUGCUAAUUGAGCCUCCAAAUCAAGAAAGGUUAUUACAGAGACAGGUGGACCCACUGCCCUGGGAAAUGGGGAAAUGCUGAGGUUAGGCACAUGUGUCUCGGCCCCUCUGUCAUCAUGGGGAAUGGGACAGGAUUGAGCUAGGCUAGGCGGCCAGAGAGAGCAAAAGGCAGGCAGGGGUCGGGAGCCAGGAGCUGAGCUAAGCCAAGGAUAGGUGGAACCCUGUUAGAAGAUGAUCAGAUGGGGGAGGGAACCCUGUUAGAAGGUAGUCAGAUGGGGCCAGGCCGUUCCGGUGGGUGAGGCUAGGAGCCCGUAGUGUUCCCCUUCGUCACCGUCAUUCAUUCUGUGGCUAUUUUGGUGUAUCGCGAUGUGCCAGGCGCUCUUCUAGAUGUCAUGAGGGAGUGGUCAGUGAAACAGGCAAAAAUUCCAACCAUAAGAGCUUCACUUUCUACUGGGAAGCCCAGCAGACAAGCGGAUCAUUUCAACACCUAGUGCCUCAGCUGGGAAAUGAGGUCUGCACUAGGGGAGGAGCAUAGGGAGUGCAGGGGUGUUGCAAUUUUAAAUUGGGGGGCAGGGCUGGGCUUUGUGAAAGGACGGUGCUUCAGCAGACUACAGGAGGUGAGGGCUAGAGCCCUGGGGAUAUCUGGGCGAAGCAGACCUGGGCAGAGGGAACAGCAAGCUCGAAGCACCCAGGCCUGGCGAGUUGGGGGCGGGCAGGCGGGAGGCCUGCUUGGCUGGGAUGAGGCCACAAACUGGGGGAGCCACAAGGGAUGCUGUCCAAGAAUUAAUGGGGCCAAGAAAUGAUGUCCAAGAAAUGGAAAGCCAUAGGGAGGUUUGACAGAGGAGAGCUCUUCUAGGAUCCUAGGGGCCACUGUGUUGAGAAUACAUCGAAUUUCGACUAGGUCCUCACUCUGUCCUUGUCCCAGGACUGGAAAAGGUGCCUAUGAUUACCAGAUGAUCUAAACUCUGCUAGGAUUGGAACAUUUAUAGGAAAACACUGAACUGAACACGUCACACGUUUGUACCCAUGAGCGAAGAGGCUGACUUGGCCCAAUCUUGGUACGACCCUCACCCCAUCUCCUGUCCCCUCCAUAAGGUUGCCAGCCACGGGCAGCUUGGAAAGCCAGGCUCUGGCCCUGGUCAGGUUCUCUCAAGUCCUACAGGCUGUCUUUGGCCCUGCCGCCAUCUCCUAUCCCUGGCCACUCCACCACAUAGACACUGUUGCUCUCCCCGGAGGCCUAGAUCACAGCUCCCCCUUCUGAACUGGAGGGAUCCGAGCAGAACUGCUGUGUCUAACUCAGAUUGGUUCGAGGUCUGAGGCUUCCAGCUCUCUGACCUUCAACUGACUUCCAUGGCCCAACCAAGACUGACUCAGAGCAGCCCAGCCCCAGGGGUUAGCCGUUCCUCUGGUCUCCCUGGCUUCCUUGGGAGUGUUAAUACAAGAGUCCCUGAACUUGCCUAUCAGAUUGGAGUGCUCAUUGCUUCUUCCAUGAUCCAGAAAACCAAGAAUGUCCGGCAUCCUGCUCAAUGAGAAGAACAAGUCAGCCGCGGGGGUGGGAACAUGUCCAUCCCCAUGGGUGGUCCAGAAAAUUGGCCCUGUGGGUCUCAGUGCUGUGAGAGGACAGCUGGGCCCAUAUGACCCAGGGUCCAUUCCCCUCCAACAUUUAAAGUUUCUGUGUGAUGUCACUAGCUGGUGCCCCGUGAGUGGGAACUUACUCUCUUUGCCUUACAGGGAUGGGUUUGGGAUGUACUUACGGAUGCUCCUAACUGAAUUUCUUCCACACCACUGAUGACAGGCUUUGUGGGUUACUGACUAAAGACAGAUCUGAGCUGGCAGAAUCAAAGGAAGUGGGUUUAGGAAAAGAUCCAAAUUACAUUGAGGGAGAGCCCACUGCUGUUCCAAGCAGUCAAAUACCCCUUUUUGAUUGAAAACUCUUGUUAUUAAAAAUGCAUUUAAAAAAAUGAAAUCGAAAGCAAAUCCUUUCAAAUAAGAUUUUAGCCUUAUCUCAAAUCCAGGGUUUUUGGUUUUUUUUUUUGAAGUUCUACCUUCUCACACUCCGUACAGAGCUCUGCUGGGAAGACCACAGACCAUAGCCGCCCAUCCUCCACGCAUGCUGACUCAGGAAAGCAAGGAUCCCUCAUGUUCCCCGAGACAGGCGUGCAGUGUGUCUCCCUUGGGCUACUUUCUAGGCUGCUUGUGUGCAGGAGGCGGUCAUCUAGACUGUGUUAAAUGUUGUCCCACCAAAAUUCCCACUUCCCUCAGGGCUGAAGCCUGGACUCAUGCGGAACCCGGACUCCGGCAGUGGAAAGAGAAAGGAGCCUGUGAAGUAGGCCGGCCAAGACAGUGUUAACAUGAAUCCUACUUAAUUCCAAUUCCACGAUGAAAGGCUCACUUUGAGACUUGAUUGAGGAUGGUAGCGCCCACUGUGGAGACUUUCCCCUUUGUAAGCUAAAUGCACAUCAUGGGCAACGGGACAUUCUGAGCAUCUUGGCCUCGGCUGGGACGCGGUGCCACCGCCCCUCCUUUUGGAGGAGGAUGGAGGCAAACACAGCCAAUGGACGGGGGAGCUAGAGGAAGCCGUGUGGGGGAUGAGACCCAAAGGAAGGCAGAUCACGUGAGAGAAUGUCAGAGGCACUCCACGAACCCACCCGCGUGAGAAAGGUUCGGGAACGGUAAGCCAGACUCGGGCUCCGGUCCUGCACCUCAGAGGGGAGGGUUAACGCUUCGAUCUUCCUGCCCCCGCCCCUUGCUGACGUGUGUGAUUUGAGAUAAAGGAGCGAUGCAUGCCCUUGAACGGAAAUAUCCGUAGCCCGUGGGAGCUCAGGAACCCUUGCCGUGUGACCUCCCGAGACUGAGCGAGCAGACACGUUCGCCCUGUUUGCAAAGUCAGCGUUGCCACUGCGGGAGAAGCAGGGGCGGGUUGCGCAUCCGAGCAGGGACUGUCCUGGACUGGACUGUGAGCUCUGGCACGGCCACCCAGGAUGGGGGCCGUGGUGGAGGCCGUCCCCCGCCCCUGUCCAGGGGAACGGAAUUGCUGCUUGACUAACUGGAGAACAUUUAUCUUCCUCUCUGUGCGGGAGCAUUUCCCUUCUCACUUGGUGAGAGCUUCAGUACUGAGUUUCGGCUUCCCCAGUGCUGGCAGAAUCAGGGGCCGCCUUCCCUGUCUCUGGCCUAUGCCUUCACUCCAGUGUCAGUGGACUUGGCCGUAUCAAGGUACUCACAGUAGAAAGAAGCCCAGGAAGUAAUGCCUCAGGGGUGCUGCUGGCCCUGGCACUUGGGUGGUGGGUGCAGAGAACAAGGCCGGAGUGGCUCUGAGCCCAUGUGGGACUACCCCGUAGAGUCUCAGCGCUCCAUGGGAGCAGUGGCACCCUAAGAGACUGACCUUUGUGCCACUGCACAGCUGGGAGCUUGGAGCCUUGAGAUGUGGGCAUUCAGGUUAGUGGAACCAUCUCUUGACCUCCUGAACGAGGAAGCCUGUGACAUGUGGCCUGUGCUUGGAUGUGGAAUCACCACAGACACCGCCGAUUCUCCUCCUUUGUCCAGGCAGCCUGCCUGACAGAUGGACGGUCUGCAUCACGCUAAUUAGUGUUUGCUCCUCUGCUCCUGGGUGCGUGCCUUAUGCCCUCCCUCCUGUGCUUGCCCGUGCCCUUGAAGGCAGGGGCUGUCUCUUCCCUCCCCCUGUCUCCCUGCAACGUGUGUCUGAACUCAGGGGUAGUCGGGCCCUGGGGUUCACGAAGGUCCCCUUGUGCUCAUUACUCCUGCUAACAGGUGCUCAGCUCAGGGCCUGUGGUCUUGGAUUCCAGGGGGCCUGACCUGAGCUGGAGAGGUAGGGAAUGGGGUACAAGGCUCCUAUGCCAUGCCCCGUCUUCACAGAGACCUCCCCGCCCCCGCCCCAGAGGAAACAGCACCCCUGUCAC